rnacentral:rRNA from 1 species
AUUGAACGCUGGCGGCAUGCCUUACACAUGCAAGUCGAACGGCAGCACGGGAGCAAUCCUGGUGGCGAGUGGCGAACGGGUGAGUAAUAUAUCGGAACGUGCCCAGUCGUGGGGGAUAACGUAGCGAAAGCUACGCUAAUACCGCAUACGAUCUAUGGAUGGAAAGCGGGGGGAUCGCAAGACCUCGCGCGAUUGGAGCGGCCGAUAUCAGAUUAGGUAAGUUGGUGAGGUAAAGGCUCACCAAGCCGACGAUCUGUAGCUGGUCUGAGAGG